UACGUAGGGGGCAAGCGUUGUCCGGAAUCAUUGGGCGUAAAGCGCGUGUAGGCGGCUCGGUAAGUCCGCUCUGAAAGUCCGGGGCUCAACCCCGGGAGGCGGGUGGAUACUGUCGAGCUCGAGUCCGGAAGAGGCGAGUGGAAUUCCUGGUGUAGCGGUGAAAUGCGCAGAUAUCAGGAGGAACACCGAUGGCGAAGGCGGUGGUCUGGGCCGGAACUGACGCUGAGGAGCGAAAGCGUGGGUAGCAAACAGG
rnacentral:rRNA from 1 species